rnacentral:rRNA from 1 species
UACAUGGAUAACUGUAGUAAUUCUAGAGCUAAUACAUGCCACUAUGCCCUGACCCGCGAGGGGACGGGUGGAUUUAUUAGAACAGAACCAACCGGUUGUGGCUUCGGCUGCUUCCGUUGCACUCUGUGAUGACUCUGGAUAACUUCACUGAUCGCAGUCGGCCUUGUGUCGGCGACGGAUCUUUCAAAUGUCUGCCCUAUCAAUUUUCGAUGGUAGGUGACCUGCCUACCAUGGUGAUAACGGGUAACGGGGAAUCAGGGUUCGAUUCCGGAGAGGGAGCCUGAGAAAUGGCUACCAAUUU